GCGGAGGUAACUCAGCUGGGAGAGUGCCGGCCGUUUGGGCACACUCAAACGGGCAAAACUGAAGUUCCCAGUAAGGGACGUGGAUAUCCGGAUGUCGCGGGUUCAAGUCCCGUCCUCCGCA
rnacentral:tRNA from 1 species